CAAAAAUAAACCCCAAACCCACAACACCUGAAGAAAAAACUUCUCCGUGGCUUCUGUGGAUUGGCCCUUCAGGCUUGAUCAUCUUAACUCUCCAUGUCUACGUAUACUGCCUUUUUUUCCUCAAAAUGUUAGAAUACUUCCCUUAACACCAUGGACUUAAAUGCAAGCCAUUCUAUCAGACUGGUUCUUCCUCCCUUACACUCUCCUAUUUAACCCCUUCCCAUUCUGACAAAUGUCGAGUCAAAUGCUAUUCUUCCUUUUUUUUACUGCUAUAAUUUGCAUAUAACAUCCUGUAAGUUUAAAGUGUACAGCAUGUUGAUUUGAUACUUUUAUAUAUUGCAAUAUGAUUACCACUAUAGCUUUAGCUAACGCCUUUAUCACAUCACAUAAUUAUCAUUUCUUUUUUUGUGGUGAGAACACUUAAAUUCCAGUCUCUUAGAAAUCACGAAUAGACAUUUUUUCAGAGAAGACAUCCAAAUGGCCAACGGGUAUAUGAAAAGAUGCUCAACAUCGCUAAUCAUCAGGAAAAUGCAGAUCAAAACCACAAAGAGGUAUCAUCCCACUCCUGUUGGAAUGGAUUUCAUCAAGAAGACAAGAGAUAACAUGUGUUGGUCAUUCCAAACCAGCAGCCUUGCAGUGUGGAAGGUGGUAUCUUGUAGGUCACCACCAGCAAGAGACAGCGGAAUUGAAGAGCUUUGAGGGGCAGGUUCCUGGGCACACAAGAGGAAGAUUCCCUGGCAGAUGCUCCAGAGAGCUGCAGGAAGUCUCUGAGGGAAAGAGACGUGCAACUUCAUUUGAAAUGAUGAUGAACCUGACCCUGGAGAGACUUGCUGUAAUUUGAAAUCCUACUGGCUGUGUAAAGUGUGAGGUAAGACUAUGCUUAUCCUGGGUUGGCUUCGCUUCCAAUGCAAAGUUCACCAAGUCAGUAACGUGGGCCCAGGAAACGAUAUGCAGAAACUCAUUUUCUUAUCUGGUGACAGUGGCAUACUUGGUUGCAUUGCCUCUAGGAAAAGAGACAGGAUAGCCUUUUGUCUUUCAUGGACAUAUUCAAAAGCUCCCCAGUUGGUUAGAGGAAAAGAUAAGUAAAGUGGAUUAGAGGGUCCUGAGAAGCUCCAGAACUGACUUCCUUCAAUGAACUUCAAUGAGCAUACAGUUGUAUUCACACGAGUAUUUGUUUGAUUACCCCCUAGCCUAGUGGAGAGGUAUGUAGUGGUGCAAGCAUGAGAUAUGGACUUAAACAGGGUUCAGAGCAGGGUAACCUAAGGCAGUCAUUGAAUUUCUAAUGCACGCUCUCACUUAAACAUUGGUGGAGGAGGCCACCUAUAUUUGAAGAACAGAGAAGCUAUCAAUCAAAUUGAAAAAAGAAAAGCAAGAGAAAAAAAAUCAGUGAAGUCAAAAGAUGUUUCUUUAAGAAGGUCAAUACCAUUUAUAAAACUGAUACGUUAGGAGCGUUUGAGUAAAGGAAUUGAUGGCCUUUGUACCUAAAUAUCUUUUGCAAUAACCCAAACAUGUAUAUAUUAUCUAUUUCAUUAAUUGAGACAUUAAGAUCUCUUGUUUCAAAUGGAAGAUACAGUGUUCAGAGGUUAAAAUAUUAAAGGGAUUAUCAGCUAACAGUAUCUUAGGGCUAUUAUAUCACUAUAUUAUUUGGAUGCCAAAAGAUGGGACAAAGAACAGUUAAGUUUCAGUGAUGGAAAAGGUUUGGGAGGUUCAGAGGGUACAGAAUGUUUAAUCUUGUUGAAGGCAGGCCCAAAACAACAUGAUUCUGGUUGCAUUUCCAGAUUGUUUUCUCCUCUUUGGACAUUUGGAUGACUAUGUGUUGUUUGAAGUAUGACUUCUGUUAAAACAUAUUUAUUCUUAAGUCUUUAUCUUUAAUAUACAGUAAGAGGCAAAAGAGUCUAGCUAUCUAUAGUCAGAAGACAAUAGAAUGAUAAAGAAGUAAAGCUAUUACUUGAAGCAGAUGGAAGAUACCAUGUAUGAGGUAUGGGAUUGCAUGUACAUCUACACAUACAUGCAUGAGCAUAAAAGUCUCCAAAUGAAUUUCUGCGCCAUUUCACUGAAGUUGGGCAAAUGAGUUGGUGACCAGAAAGAGACUUCUUUUAAAUAGAAACCCUACUUUUGACAGUGAGAUAUGUGAUGGCCCUACUGAAGCUAUUCAAGCAAUUGGAAGCCUUCUAUGUCCUGUGCCCCAUAAAGGGAUCCUAGAAGUGAACACAUUUGAGCCUUAGAGUUACCAGGUGGAUGUCACAGCCUACCUAGAGAGUGUGUCCUAGGCUGGAGGACUCAGGUGUAGAGCACAGGGUUCUUGGGAGCUUCCUGGACAGUGGAAUGGUUAAUACUGGCCUAAGAGCCUGGGUUCUGUCUCUUACUCUCUUCCUUUUGACUCCAAAUUUUUAUCAUGGGCUUGUAUCACAUUUGAAAUAAUUUUCUUUGCCUAGAAUUCGGGCUGAAAUUCCCUGAGUCCUAGAUAGGAGCUAGUCUGCUUGAGUUAGGCAGGUGUGAAAUUGUUUAAAUUUUACCUAAAAACAAAUAAUUUGGAAACAGUACAUAAAGCCAGAGUGACAACUCUUCAUGGAGUUCUGUGAUCUGUGUGUAUUUUGUUAGCAAAAGCAUUCCUUUAACCAAAAAGAAA